rnacentral:tRNA from 1 species
GCCUGUCUGGCUCAGUUGGUACAGCAUGUGACUCUUGAUCUUGGGGUUGUGAGUUCGAGCCCCACGUUUGGUG